GGAACAGGUACUUGCAGAUCUUCUUCACUAAGGACUCAAACGAGUUUGGAAAUUCUUUGCCUGAAAGGAAGACAGAAACACCGUAGCAGUUCCAGCCGGUCACCUCCAGUCCCACAGCACCAUUUAUUCUGGCAAAACUGGGCCUGAAAAAUCCUGUUCUUAUUUAAUCUUUGGAAGGGAAUGGAGACUAAACAAUCUGAGGAAAAAAAGCCCCGUUAGGCAGGGAAGAGGAGCGAUGCUGCUGGCAAUGCAAUUUAUUUCCCACUUAAUGCAUCAGGGUUCUGAAAGAAAUGCUAAUAACAAGGUUAAAUUUUACUGGCAACACGCUGUGUUUAAUACCCACAUGGCGACUGUUCUCUGAACACAGGCUGCUUCCUGGAACAAAAAGCUGUACCAGUGGCAAAACAUUAGCCAAGGAGUGGGAGAUCUUCAUCCCAAUUGGUAUGCCAGAAGUGUAAUUCUUUGACACUGCAGGAACGAACCCAAAUUAAAAUAACCCCUUACAAAUAUACUGUGAAAGCUGCCUGGUAUGAACGUAUAAGCUGCAUGUCAACUUUCACCUUGCUUUUUUGCACCUCCAAAGAGCCGUAGGAAGCAGCUAUCCAAAGGCUGGCAUACCGUAUUUUGUUGGAAAGACGUCCUCGUCUGUCACAAGUUUCUGCACUGAGCUCAUGACGAAGUCGACGUACUGCGGAGCAGUGCAUUUGAUCUUCUUCCCCCGCUCGUCAUACCAGUAGUACUGUCUGUGGAGAGAGCCCACAGCGUCACGUUACGCCCUGCAUCCUCAGCUGAACUCCUAAGAGGGCUGAUCAACAAUGAGCUGCAAGGACCUGUAGGUGCCACUUGGAAAGGGGAGUUUUAUGCACACUGACCAUCAAAAUUGUUCUGAAGCCAUUAAAGAAAAAUGUUACACAGCAACUGAGAAGCUCUUAUUUACAGUGUGUUGUCACUGCCCAGAAAGAUUGAUCAGGGACCUGAGGCUGGUGGUGUGAAGGCAGUAGCAAUAUGUGAUGACUGUAGACCUAGUCUAUGCUAGGCCAUAUGAAGACUGGAGGAAAGAGAGCAGAGGAGAUGCAAAAGGAGGAAAGAACAAGACUAUGAACACGCGCUGGAGAGAAAACAACACCCAAAUAACAGGCUUAUUCAUAAUGAAGGGGAUCUCAUAUUCCAUUAUGUUGGACCAUGCUAAUCAAGAGGAGUUUAUGGUAAAUGUUUCUUAUGCUCACCAUAUACAGUACAGCUACAAAGCCUUCUUUCUAAGCGACAGCUAGUCAACACUUACCAAGUGUACCAAGUCCUGCAGAGGGAAAGUGCCAAUCCAAAACAUUUUCUGUACUCUUUGCAAAGCUGCCACUUGUGCCUUCUGCUCCCAGGGGUUCCAGCAGAGAACCAGUGGCUCAUGUCAUGCCAGAGGUUAACCAUCAGCAGCCUGGUGCUCUGCCAGCAUUCCAGCUAUCAGAAAGCACUCCCGGAUAUUUUUCAACUCAUUCAUCCUUCCCUGCCUUCUAUGGCAGUGUUACCAGUAAGGAAAUUUUCUCUUUUUUCUUCUCCUCCUCCCCGCAG